rnacentral:misc_RNA from 1 species
UCGCGGCUUAUCACCGGCAGUCUCCUUAGAGUGCUCAACUAAAUGGUAGCAACUAAGGACGGGGGUUGCGCUCGUUGCGGGACUUAACCCAACAUCUCACGACACGAGCUGACGACAGCCAUGCAGCACCUGUCUUCGGUCCAGCCGAACUGAAGGAUUCCGUCUCUGGAAUCCGCGACCGAGAUGUCAAGGGCUGGUAAGGUUCUUCGCGUUGCGUCGAAUUAAACCACAUCAUCCACCGCUUGUGCGGGUCCCCGUCAAUUCCUUUGAGUUUUAAUCUUGCGACCGUACUCCCCAGGCGGGCAACUUCACGCGUUAGCUGCGGUACCAAGGAAUUGCUCCCCCAACACCUAGUUGCCAUCGUUUAGGGCGUGGACUAC